CCCCAGGAGUUGCAGCUGUGUGAAUGGUACCUUCUUGCUUCUGGAGAAGCUCAUCCACACCAGCACCUCAUUCGAUUCCCCAUCAAUUAGCCCAGAGAGGUGGGCGGCUUGCCCAGGACGCAGCCCAUGGGCAGAACCGGAGUGGGGCUGGAGAGGGCCUCCUGCUCACUGGGCAGGUUACAUCUUCACGGCCUUGUGUUUUGCUCGUUAGGGUUCCUCCUCCUCUAGUUGGUGUGAAAUAAGAGCUCCGUGAUGAGUUGGAGCAUUACUGCAGAAAACAUAGCCCCAUCUUUUGCCUGUGAGGAAUGGGCAUCCCACAGGUCUGAAUUCCCUCUGGGGUCCUGGCUGCAGCUGUGGUUCAAGGUGGGCGCCGAUUGGUUGCACCCAAGCCCUGGAAAGAGGAGGCUCUGCCACUGUCAGCAACACUGAGGACACGCAGGGAUGAGGUGCCCCGAUUUGGGGAACAUUACCCUUAAGAAACUGGUGUGAUGUCAUUCCACUUCACAGUGGGGGGCCCCAGCUUUCAGGCCAGCAUUAAGGACAAGUGCCGUUGCCAUGUGAAAAAGUUAUUUUCCCAAACAAUGAACAAUCCUAGUGAUGUCAUAGGCCCUGCCAGAGGGCCCAAAUCAAAUCGGUUCUGGUGCUGGGGCAGCCUCCUGUAACACUAUCCUGAGGGGAUGACUCUUCCUGGGUUGGGGGCAGACAGCAGAGAGGCCGGGGGUCUUCAGGUGCGGCCCCUGCAUGUAUCUAUGUUCACAUUUCAAAGUGGUUUUCACUCAGAGGAAGGUGGAGCUUAGCAAAGAAUUGUGCAGAUCAAGGAGCAGCAGAAAUGGGGGCUUCCCCCUGCAGCAGCAGCCCAUGGGUCAGAAGUGGGGCUGGCAUCGGGGCAAGCCAGUGCAUCCCAGGGUGGGAGGACUAAAUGAGUGGCCACAGAACGGGGAUCACUGGAGCAGGAGGUGGCCUCCCCCACGCGCCUUCAUGCCUGGCUGAAAUCUAACCCUCAUUCUUGGGCCCUCAUGUCACGGCCCAGGCCCGCCUUCCCAGCAGCCUGAUGCAGUCAAGCUGUUCCCACUCUUCUCUCUUCCUCCAGAGGAAGGACCUUUGCCGAUGAAGUCAUGGGAAUAAAAGCUCCCUCUGCUCCGAAAACAGUGGGACUGUGAAGUCAGCUUGUUGUGUGGCCUCCCGAGGCCCAGGUGGGCAGCCAUCGCUGUUUACUGGGCCUUGCAAGUCCACCACGUCAUCUAAUUUGCAAAUCAUGUGAUUAUCCCCAUUGCACAGAUGAGGAAACUGAGGCUCAGAUCUUGGGACUGGCCCAAGAUCAUGGAACCAUCAAAUGAAACCACAUCCAGGUCUGGCCCCUACAACUUGAGGUCCAUUGCUCUGGAGAACCCACAGAUUUAGUUCAAUUCAGUGAGCAUUUGUGCAGUUCCCGCAACGUGCUGGCACCAGGCUGAGCCCUCAGAAUACACUGUGGCCUGCUGCAUGGAUGUGUGGGCAGUCUCGGGUCUCACGGGGGACAUUCUUUCUCACUUCUGCCCAGAAGGUCUCUUGAGUUUUCUGCUAAUUGUCUACAUGGUUUUAAUAGAUUAAUUAAAAUAAUCAUCUUUAGCUCACCUCUCCAUUGAAUGCAAUGCCAUUUUGGAAAGAAUCACAUUCUUAAAUGUGACUGUGAUCAAAAUCACCUUGGCAUCUGACAGAGUCAUGAUGGCUCCUGGGGUCUGUUCCAAACAGGACACUUCCCCCAUGGAGAUUCCUCACUCUCAGUGACAGCCACACACCUGGCUGCCCUGCCACGUACCUGGUGCUGCAGAGCCUGGGAGAAGCAGCCACACUUCAGACCAAGCAGCUGGCACCACACCGGGCACUGGGGAUGGACAGUACAGACAUCUUUUCUGUGUAUGUGGCUGUGCCCUCUCUCCUUAAGCCAUUGGCACAUUCUCCAGCCAUACACGUGCUUUCAACUGGAUCAACUGAUGGCCCAACCAACUGGAGUAGUGGCCUGUAUCUGUCUGUUUUCUUUCUAUAAAGGAAAACUUGAGGCUGGGUAAUUUAUAAAGAAAAGAGGUUUAUUUGGCUCACAGUUCCACAGGCUGUACAGGAAGCAUGACACCAGCAUCUGCUUCUGGCGAGGCCUCAGGAAGCUUCCCCUCAUGGUGGCAGGGGAAGGGGAGCAGGUGUGUCACACAGAGAGGAAGCAAGGGAGAGCAGGGGAGGUGUCAGGUUCUUUAACGAUCAGCUCUGCGUGAACACACCACCAUUACUGCACCGCGCCACGCCUGAGGGGUCCUCCCACCAGGCCCAGCUCCAACGCCAGCGAUCAGACUCUACAUGAGAUUUGGAGGGGACAGAUCUCCAAGCUAUGUCAUGGUCUACCUGACUACAGAAAACUGUCAGGUGACCAGUCCAUUUAAUUACAGUCACAUGAGGGUGUCAAUAGCCUGAUUCCAGGAACCACUGUCCCUGCCUGAAUAGAGAAGAUGCUGGAUAAUAAAAGGGGCCUGUCUGGCAGGUGUUGGGAAACUCAAGUUCAAUGGAAGUGGCUGGAAGCAUGCCUAGGCCCUGGCUUACCUGGGGACCCGAGGGAGCUGAGAUAGAGUUGGCGGUGCUGGGCCUGGCUGAGGGCCCUGUGUGCCCACUGAAGGCUGAGGGGCCUUAGUUUACCCAGCAUCUUCCGUGGCCAAGACAACACACACCUACCUGGAGGACAUGAGCACACAGAGCUGGGGAGGUGGGUUUCACUCACACACCCCUGUGGGCUUUUGCACAUGUUCCAAGGCUACGCGCUCCCCUUUCUAGAAGCCCCUAUUAGCCUCAAGCCUUCUAAUGAGUCCUUGCUGUCCUGGGAUUUGGAUGGUGGAAGGGGGUGCCUUGGCUGCCCUAUGACUGUUGCUUGGUGAGUGAGUGCAUUAAUGUCCCUUCCUGCAAAGCUCUCAAGUGGGUGACGUGUGCCAGACAUUCUGGCCACCAUCCUGGUGCCCUGGCCACCUUCUCCACCUGUUCUCUGUCCCCAGUUGGCCACUACAGCCUGUCAAUGGCCUCUCUUCCUUCUGGGUUCUGGUUGGGUUUGACCUGUAGGAGGCGCUAGUGGGAGACAGGGGGCAGGCUGGACAGAGAGGGCAGAUGGACUCUGCCACCUCCUCCCAGCUGGGCAACAGGGGUGCUGGCUGCAUUCCCCCGCCAAGGCCCUCUCUCAGCAGCUGCCUGGAGUCUGUGUCUGCCCUUUCCCUUCCCCCAAGACAGAGGGGGUUGCGCUCCCCGCUGCUGCUGUCCUGGGGCGCCUCUCCAGCCUCUGGGCUCCCUUCACCCUCCCCACAGCAUGGGGAGAGGCCGUCGUGAAACUCUCCUUAGCCUCUCACCUCCAUACCCAGCAGGCGCCCCUUUCCUCCUGGUGCCAUGAAGGGUGCGAUGGCCCCCUGAAUCAGGAGCCCAGCUGAUCGGGCGAGGUGCACUUUGGCACCUCAAAGCUGGGAGCCAGGACCUGGAGAGGCCCACGCCCUCCACCCGUGGAGUGUCCAUAUUCCUGCAGGGUGUGCAGGGGUGGAGAGCAGGUCUUGCUCUGGCAUGCCGCCCUUGUGGCUACUUUGUGAUCAAAGUUAGCCUAUUUUGACAUUUCAUGUCUUCAGUUGUAUUUUUAUUUAUUUUAAAAUAUUCCUGCAGAAA